rnacentral:rRNA from 1 species
CCUACGGGAGGCAGCAGUGGGGAAUAUUGCACAAUGGGGGAAACCCUGAUCCAGCGACGCCGCGUGAGCGAUGAAGUAUUUAGGGAUUGAAAGCUCUAUUAGCAGGGGAGAAAAUGACGGUACCUGACUCAGAAUCCCCGGCUAACUACGUGCCAGCAGCCGCGGUACUACGUAGGGGGCCAGGGUUAUCCGGAUUUACUGGGUGUAAAGGGGGCGUAGACGGGUGUGCAAGCCAGAUGUGGAAUCCCGGGGCUCAACCCCGGGACUGCAUUUGGAACUGUGUGUCUGGAGUGUCAGAGAGGCAGGCGGAAUUCGUGGUGUAGCGGUGAAAUGCGUAGAUAUUAGGAGGAACACCAGUGGCGAAGGCGGCCUGCUGGACGACGACUGACGUUGAGGCUCGAAAGCGUGGGGAGCAAACAGGAUUAGAUACCCCGGUAGUC